AGAAAACAAUAAUACUACUAACAAAGGAAAGCAAGAUUUUGUGUGCUUAAAAAUAACCCCCCUCAUACAUACACACUCCCUUUCAGUCGUUUGUGCUUCUUAUACUAAAAUUAAAACGAGACUAUGAAUAAAAUUAGCAUAAUAAUUGAUUGCUCUUAAUAUCUCCACAAUGGUCCCAAAUAUUUUUUUUAUUUUAUUCUUUUUUAAAAAAAUAAUGACAUUAAUUUAUGAAUAUAUUAGUAAGUUUAUUUAUUCAUAAAUAGAGUGUGUCAACAUAAACACAAUAUUAAACAAAAGUCAAAAGAAAAUCCAUAUUUAUUUCUUUGCUUCAUACAUAUUAGGUUAAUUAAAUAGUUCUGAGCGUUUUUCGAUAGAUGUCUUGAGUGGGAUAUAUCUCUGAUUGCAUCACAAAGAGCUAUGCUUAAAGGUUAAGCGUACACGUAAAAAAGUUUAUUUACAGUUUUGUGUUUGGUGAAGCCAUGAACAACAUGGAAGUAAAAAAGGGAAAAUUCGAUGCAUUCUUCAGAAUCGCUACAACCUUGGGUGAAAAGGCGGUGCACCAAAAAAAAAUUGUGGUGUUUAUGGACCCAAUAGAGUAUCAAAUGCAACAGCAAAUCCGUGGUUCCAAUGAUUCCGUUCUGGUAAUAUGGAAGUUGAAAAUGUCCAUUAAGUAAUGGAAAUCGUCGAGUUAGACCAGCACUUGAGCCCUUAUUCUAUUGUCCAGGAAGAGAAAAAGAGCCAGAAAACCGUUUGGAACCAUCUAAAUAGGAUAGAUUUCGAACUAUUUUAAUUUCAUUAUCAAAAUAAAUGGAAAAAAAAACCGCUCAGAACUUUAAACUUCACUAAUUAUAUGUUGUGUACAAGUUACGAUUUUGUACAAGUUGCAACCAUAAAAUGAGAUGAAUAAUUUUAAAUGAAGGAUUUAGAGUACUUGUGAUCAGAGAAUAAUGCAAUAUUUACAUAUUCCAUGGAUGACCCAACUAUUAAUGAUGUCAUUUUUGACUAUUUUAAUACAAAUUAUUAGAAAAUAAGUAUUCUGACGUACAUUAUAAAGUUCAAAUGCCAUCAGCUUUAGUACUCAUAAACACAUAGCAACCAUGUAAUUUGAUCAGAUCAAAAUGAAAUGAUAAAGUUGCUAAAUUGAAUUAUCAGUGUUCUAAAAUAAUGAAAUUGAAGCCAAAUAAAUUGUAAUUGGAGAUGGGUUUCUUUCAUUGCUGGUGUCAAAAGUGGUCUCUUCACCCUCACGAGGUUCUUUCCACCCACUUUUUUAUAGCUCUCUGGACAGUCUGUUGUGAAAGCCCGAGUUCUUUAGAAUGGGCCCUCAUAGACUUGAGGGGAUUGACCUGGGCUGUUUUAGCCAGACUAAUCCCUCAAACUAUAUCCAACUCCUCCGGGUACAGUUGGGCCUUUUUGAUAGAGUCCUUCAUUGGUCCUCGAGACGUCUAAAUCCUUGGAUUGCGUUAAUGGAAAUUCGCAGAUCAGGUUCAAGCGUCAUUUUCUUGACUUGUUCGUAAGCUAGAGAGCUCAAUUUUUUUUGUUUGUUUCGUAACUAAUUGUUUAUGCUUUAAUAUAUCUAAGUACGAAUUAAUUUUAAUCACUCAACCUUAAUUAAUUAUUGAAUUAGUCAGUGUUCAGAUUUGAAUGGUACACCCAGUACAUCUCACUAUUUCAUAGAAGUAUUUGAAUCAGUAAUAGGGUCAUUAUUAUAAUUUUGGAGAUGAAUUAAUAAAUUAAGAACACUAAUCUGGUUAAAUAACCGUACACCCUGAUCAUUACAAAAAAAAAUAUCCAUGACUUUUCCCAGGGAUUAAGAAAUUAUAUCUGAAAUAGAGAGCUUCAAUCUAAGGGCAGAGAAUCAUAGGUUUUAUACUCUUUUAUUAAAAUCUGCCACCUUUUACGUACAUCAUGUCAGUUAUUGAAUUCAUUUUGUAUAACAUUAAUAAUACUGCAAGGUCGUUGAUCCACAGUUUCGAUUUGAAUACGAUCAAUAAUAAAGUAUCUCAAAUCAAUAGUAUCGGGAACUCUAACAACGACUUGAAACUUCAACACGUUUUCUCAUCCAUUCAGAACGAACAAACCUGGAUAAAAUUUCUUACAAAAUCUUCUACUUAUCACUGAAGAUUUUCAUAUUUCAAGAAGUAUAGUAUUAGUUUAGAUCCUUUAUUUGAUUAAAAAGACCCCGACAAGGCCUUUCAAAUGAAAUCUAUUAAUUUCUUAUUCCUUUAUUGUGAGGAUCAAUUUUGGCUUCUUUAAGCACAAUUUGCGACACACCCAAAGUUCUAGUACAAAUAAUUUGUUGAUAGAAAUUAAAUAUAAUCUGGCGAAGAAUCACACUCAUUAAAAAAAAAAUCAUUCUAGCUUAUUUUUGAACUGACGGACCACAAAUAGAGUGUUUCAUAUAAUUAUUCAGUCAGAGAAUUCCAAUCAUUAAAUGUAGGAUUUUAAAUAGUCGAAACAGUGUCAUUUUUAGAGAUGGACAAAAUGUUGAGAAAAAUAGCAACUUAAAGAUUAGAAGAGGAAAAACGUCAUGUUGUUACCUCUCUCCCUGAAUGAUGAAUUCCCGCCCUUUUAUACGUAAAAUUUAAUUAUAACUUUAUAAUAUUUUCCCUGUAGUAAUGAUAUUUUAAAUGUUGGAGGUUCUCUUCUCUGGAGUAGUUAUAUAUUUUAUACCUCCAAAAUCAUAUAACAGGCAGCUGAUGUUAAAGGUGAAGGCCUGAAUUAAGGGGUACCUUAAUUCUUGCACCCACAUUUUCCUUGCAAUCUUAAAAAUACUCAUUCCUAUAGUCAUGUUAAAUCAUCAAUGUUGUUGGAAUCGUUGAUUAAGAGUGAAUUUGAUUUGUUAAAGAGAUUAUAUUCAAAAAGUUGGUACCCUUGCAUCUUGUAAAUAACUUUUCUCAGUAUUGCACUGAUCGAUCGUCAACAAAGCAAGUUUCCCAUCUGCUCUCUCAUAAUGUGUAUGUGGAAUCCUGAUUUGGAGAAUAAUAGUAUGCUUUGCCGUUUUUACGGUUUCUCCUGCCCAUCUCGUUCUUUAUGGCAAGUAAUCCACCACUCCAAAACCUUCCAUCAGAUCAACAACUUAAAAGUAUUACAGAAAAAAAGAUUUGAGGAGACGAAGGAAAAUUUAACGGCACAUCAUUUAAUUUGGACAUAGGAAAGAUAUUUGUGGUGUGUAAUAUCCCUUUAAAUGUUCUGGAUCAUCCCCAUUUCUCCAAGUUUAUUGAAAAAUAUACAGGAAGAAGUACUCUGGGCCGAUGGAUCGUUAACAAUUUGGUUGUGGAAGGUUGUCAAGGAGUUUUGUAUAGAAUAAUAGAAGAGGUGGGAAAAAAGGAUAUUUUCGUUAGAUUAGAUGAGUCAAGAAAUCAUCAAGAGGGGUUGAUAAUAGCAAUUUCCAUUGGCCCUUUGAACGGACAUUUUGUGGAAGACAUAACCUUAUCGACUCGAGUAAUAUUGAGAUUGCAAACUUGAACAACUUGAACUUUAGCUCAGUUUAUAAGUUAUUGGGAUAAGAUUUUGUGCCGUGUAGAGAUAAAGUUUUUAUCACUGAUGCCGCUUCCUAUUGUCUGAAAGCAGGAGAAGAUCACAUUACAUGUGUUUCUCAUGAAGUACCAGGCAUGUGACUAUGAAAUGAUACUUCAGCUAUUGGUCCCUAGGUGUCGCUAGUCAACCAUUAUAAACCGAUCCAGAAAUAUAAUUGGUUAUUUGGACAUGUGUCAACAAUAUUUAAUUCAUUAGGUGAAUGUUUCAUUCAACAGUGCACUUUUUUUGGUCGUAAGUAUGUCUAAUUUUGUGCCUACAAACUACAAUGUGCGGACAUCAUUAAUUUUCUGUUACCAAUUGAAGAAAAACCACUUCUCAAGCCCAUCAAAUGCUUGUGGAAGCUUACGGUGGACAGGUUCUAAGCAGAGCACAGUGCAUCAGGUGGUUUGAAAAAUUCCAAAGUUGUGAUUUUGACGUGAGAAAUGAAGAUGAAAGAAAUGAAGGCAAUGCUGUGUGUGUUCUGGGACCAUUGUGGUGUCAUAUGGUAUGACCUUCUACAACCCGGCCAAACCAUUAAUGGUGAUCGCUACCAACAACAAUUGGCCGAUUUGAACAAUGCUAUACACCAAAAACGCCCAAAAUAUGAAGCCAGGUAACACAAGGUAAUUUUCCUUGAAGACAACGUACCACCGCAUUGAUCUAUAGCUACCCACCAGCUUGUUGAAUCGUACAACUCGGAACCUUCUGCUCAUGCGGCUUACUUGCCGAGAGCUGGUGCCUUCCGAUUGUGACUUGGAAUCAUCAAUGGACAACGUACUCAAUGAUUUAUACUUCGAUUAUCACGGCGAAUAAAAAAAAAAUGGAUAAAUGACUGGUUUUCAGCCAUAGAGGAACAUUUUGUUUUUGGAAAUGCAUCCAUAAAUGCUUGAGAGAUGGAAAAAAUGUGUGGCUAGCGAAGGCAUAUACUUUGAAAAAUAAAUUUGCACAUACCUGGUAAAUUGGGUUGCAGAUAUGGGUGAACAAAAGUUUCCUCAAACGAACGAACCAAUUUCUCAUAUGAAAAAGAUGUUUUUGAAUUCUGGAAGAAGAAAAUUAUUACUACUAUCACUUUGACGUAUUCAGAGAGUAUUUAAACAGCCUUGAUGAAGAUUUGGCAGCAACCAGAAGAGCACAAGAACAAUAACUACACAUGAGGAAAGAUCCUUACCUGCCUGACCAUUGUGGAAAAUCUGACUCAAGAUUUGAAGGAAGAGCCGUUCGAGACCAAGUUAAAAGAAGUACUUCAAAAUAACCAUGGCAACACGAAACGAAAGGAACUCUCAACAAGUGACAACCGUCUAUACAAAAAUAUUCCCAACUGUCAAUUGUGAUGCAGAGAGAGUCUUUAGUAUGAUGAAUAUGAUAAAUUCGAAAAGGAGGUCCACGCCAAGUGCUAAGAAAUUGAUGGAAUUAUUGAUCACCAAAUGGAAUCCAUGUUUUGUAAACAUUUAAUUUUGAACAUAUUUCUUACCAAAGUUAUCCAUUCAUCCUUUAUGGUCGCUAAGAAGUAAUGAGUACACUUCCUUGAGGACAUUGCCGCAUUGCAUAAUAUGACACUCAGCUCCUUCCUCGGGGAAUGUGUCUUUAUCUAAAUGGUUUCCCAUGGUCCCCAUGUAAGGAAUAAACAUCUGACAGCAGUCUGGAAAGAUUAUUAUAGUUUUGCAUUUAAUUUACUCACGUGCUAUUUACGAUUUGAUAUAAUCACUUUGUAUAUUGAUAUUCGUACCCUAACUUUUAUGCUAUGGCAAUUUUUGUAAAUAAUCAAAAUUUCAAGUAUACAAUAAAUCAUAACUAACAUUAA
rnacentral:lncRNA from 1 species